UACAGAGGUCCCAAGCGUUGUUCGGAUUCACUGGGCGUAAAGGGUGCGUAGGUGGCCAGGUAAGUUCGGUGUGAAAGCUCGGAGCUUAACUCCGAAAUGUCAUUGAAUACUAUCUGGCUAGAGGGUCGGAGGGGAGACUGGAAUUCUCGGUGUAGCAGUGAAAUGCGUAGAUAUCGUGAGGAAGACCAGUGGCGAAGGCGGGUCUCUGGACAGUUCCUGACACUGAGGCACGAAGGCCAGGGGAGCAAACGGG
rnacentral:rRNA from 1 species